CCAAACAGGCCAGCAAGCAACAACUCCCCUGCUCUCAAGAUUUAUAUUUUAGUGAGAAGGCACCAAAAUAGCCAGCCCACGGGUCUUGAAGGUCGAGCUUAUGCUGGGGAAUCAGGAGACAGGUCAAAAGAAUAUGAAAACUUACAGCCUCGAUGUAUAGAUAAGAUGAGUCCUACUUGGUUAGUAUUAUACAGGCUUCAUUCAUGAUCUCUCGGUCGGUGCUGUCUUUUUCUUUUCUUUUCUUUUCUUUUUCUUUUUCAAGGUUUUCUUCUUCAUGUACGUAGUCCCUAUAUAAUAUUGCUUGAACUUUGAUAUAGCUAGCACUUACAUAUCUCAAGUUAGUACACCGAGUUCAAGAAUAUGGUCAGGUUUACAACUCUCUCUGUCUGUGUUUCUGUGCUUUUCUUCCUCCAUUUGGUGUUUUUUGUUCACGGGAAAGAUGAUACCAAUCAACUGCUGGUGGGCAAUGGAGAUUCUGCUCAUAUGGGAAGAGCAGAUCAUGAGUGUAGAGGCAAGGAGAGGGGAAAGUGCAAGAAAGUAGGAGAUGAAGAGUCAGAAGAGACUCUUUACGAGAAUGAGGACUACAUAUACACUCAAUCUAAUCCUUAAUUAGAUCAUAUUUAUUCUCUUUCGUGUAAUAUUGUAAUUUGUGAAUUUUCUGUUAAUUCAAUCAAUAAUGAAGCCUUGGUGUUAAGCUAGCAAGAGUAUGGUCGAACAUAGAAUAUUUGAGUCUUUUCAUUAGCAAAUGUCUUUCAUUCUAUCCUUUCUGUUUAUUCGUUAGCAAAUCUCUUGAGCGGAUAAUGCCCUAUGCAGAACCAUUUUCCUAUUUGGCUCAACUCGGUAUUAGAGAAAUCCUUUUUCUUUAAAACCUCUAACUUCGAAUCUUCUUUUGUAAUAUAUAAAAAAAAUGAAUUUAUAAUUUCAAAAUUGAGAUUAA